rnacentral:rRNA from 1 species
GAUGAACGCUGGCGGCGUGCCUAAUACAUGCAAGUCGAGCGAACAGACGAGGAGCUUGCUCCUCUGACGUUAGCGGCGGACGGGUGAGUAACACGUGGAUAACCUACCUAUAAGACUGGGAUAACUUCGGGAAACCGGAGCUAAUACCGGAUAAUAUAUUGAACCGCAUGGUUCAAUAGUGAAAGACGGUUUUGCUGUCACUUAUAGAUGGAUCCGCGCCGCAUUAGCUAGUUGGUAAGGUAACGGCUUACCAAGGCAACGAUGCGUAGCCGACCUGAGAGGGUGAUCGGCCACACUGGAACUGAGACACGGUCCAGACUCCUACGGGAGGCAGCAAUAGGGAAUCUUCCGCAAUGGGCGAAAGCCUGACGGAGCAACGCCGCGUGAGUGAUGAAGGGCUUCGGAUCGUAAAACUCUGUUAUUAGGGAAGAACAAAUGUGUAAGUAACUAUGCACGUCUUGACGGUACCUAAUCAGAAAGCCACGGCUAACUACGU